rnacentral:rRNA from 1 species
UUCCGGUUGAUCCUGCCGGAGGUUACUGCUAUCGAGGUUCGACUAAGCCAUGCGAGUCGAAUGUAGCAAUACAUGGCGAACUGCUCAGUAACACGUGGACAACCUGCCCUUAGGACGGGGAUAAACCCGGGAAACUGGGUAUAAUACCCGAUAGGUCUCGAUUGCUGGAAUGCAUCGAGAUUUAAAGCUCCGGCGCCUAAGGAUGGGUCUGCGGCCUAUCAGGUAGUAGUGGGUGUAGCGUACCUACUAGCCUACGACGGGUACGGGUUGUGAGAGCAAGAGCCCGGAGAUGGAUUCUGAGACACGAAUCCAGGCCCUACGGGGUGCAGCAGGCGCGAAAACUUUACAAUGCUGGCAACAGCGAUAAGGGAACCUCGAGUGCCAGGUUACAAAUCUGGCUGUCGAGAUGCCUAAAAAGCAUUUCAUAGCAAGGGCCGGGCAAGACCGGUGCCAGCCGCCGCGGUAACACCGGCGGCUCGAGUGGUAACCGUUAUUAUUGGGUCUAAAGGGUCUGUAGCCGGCCGGAUAAGUCUCUUGAGAAAUCUGGCAGCUUAACUGUCAGGCUUUCAGGAGAUACUGUCUGGCUCGAGGCCGGGAGAGGUGAGAGGUACUUCAGGGGUAGGGGUGAAAUCUUGUAAUCCUUG